rnacentral:rRNA from 1 species
CAUGGUUGUCGUCAGCUCGUGUCGUGAGAUGUUGGGUUAAGUCCCGCAACGAGCGCAACCCUCGUUCUAUGUUGCCAGCACGUGAUGGUGGGGACUCAUAGGAGACUGCCGGGGUCAACUCGGAGGAAGGUGGGGAUGACGUCAAAUCAUCAUGCCCCUUAUGUCUUGGGCUUCACGCAUGCUACAAUGGCCGGUACAAAGGGCUGCGAUACCGCGAGGUGGAGCGAAUCCCAAAAAACCGGUCUCAGUUCGGAUUGGGGUCUGCAACUCGACCCCAUGAAGUCGGAGUCGCUAGUAAUCGCAG